UGUGGCGGUAGCGACUGAGGCGGCAGUAUGGAGGGCGAGAGCACGUUGGGGGUGCUGUCUGGCUUCGUGCUCGGCGCGCUCACCUUUCAUCAUCUCAACACAGACUCAGACACGGAAGGUUUUCUCCUUGGUGAAAUGAAAGGUGAAGCCAAGAAUAGCAUUACUGAUUCACAGAUGGACAACGUUAAAGUCGUUUAUACAAUCGACAUUCAGAAAUACAUUCCAUGCUACCGGCUUUUUAGCUUUUAUAAUUCUUCAGGUGAAGUAAAUGAACACGCACUGAAGAAAAUUCUUUCAAAUGUCAAAAAGACUGUGGUGGGUUGGUAUAAAUUCCGUCGUCACUCGGAUCAGAUAAUGACAUUUAGAGAGCAGUUGCUCCACAGAAACUUACAGACGCAUCUUUCAAGCCCAGAGCUUGUUUUUCUGUUGUUAACACCAAGUAUAACAACAGAAAGCUGCUCCACGCACUGCCUGGAACACGCCUUAUAUAAACCUCAAGGGGGGCUUUUUCAUAGGGUACCUUUGGUGGUUACCAAUCUGGGAAUGUCUGAUCAACUGGGUUAUAAAACAGAGUCUGCUUCCUGUACGUCCACUGUCUUUAGCAGAGCUGUAAGGACACACAGUUCUCAAUUUUUUAACGAAGAUGGAUCAUUAAAGGAAGUACAUAAGAUAAAUGAAAUGUAUGCUACUAUACAAGAAGAGUUAAAGAGUAUAUGCCAAAAAGUUGAACAGAGUGAACGAGAAGUAGAGAAACUAUUGAUGGAUGUAAACCGAUUAAAAGAAGUUAGAAAAAAACAGCAAGCACAGGCUAAAGGAGCAGGAGAGAAGAUUGUCCAAGAAAAUCCCCAGGAGAACAUUCUUCUUUGUCAAGCUUUACGAACAUUUUUUCCAGAGUCUGAAGUUCUUCAUUCUUGCGUUAUUUCUUUGAAAAACAGACAUAUUUCUCCCAGUGGGUGUAACAUUACCCACCAUCUUGAUGUAGUGGAGAAGCUGACCUUAAUGGUGGAGUACGUGUACAGCCCUGAAGCCAGCCCAACGCCUGCAGCCCCGCUGAGUAAGCGGAAAGCCCUAGACACACAAGACCAGUGCUCUGUGAAGAAACCACGGCUGCUAGAGACAGAAAGCAGACCCGUGACAGCACCCCGCAGAAGUCACCAAGACAAAGCUUCCUCAAGCAGCCUAGAUAUAGACACAGAGAUGGGGAGCCCGGAAGAUGAUGCUGACUAUCCUCGCUCUCCUACAUUUUGAUUCUUUUUAGAUGACAUUUUUUUACUAGACUGAGGUUUAGGGCACUUGUUUUAUUUUUACUCUUUGCCUCCUGGAGUAAUACAUAGAAAAGUUCAUGUUUUUCCUCUAUUCAGCUGUUUAUAAUACAUGGAUAUUUUUAUAGUUCAACUGCUUAUAAUACAUAGAACAUUCUUCAAGUUGGGAAGAGAAGCUAGCCUUAUCCACAACAUGGAAAGCAGCACAGAUGUUUGUAAACCUUGGCCUCAGACUUGGUUCAGCUGGCACGGGCAUCUGCUAUCAAGACUGAUAACCUGAGUUGGAUUUCUGAGAGUCCCACAGUGAAGGAAAGAACCCACUCCCACAGGCUCUUCUGACUUCCACACAUAUACUGACCAUGGUAUAUACAUGAAACCCCCAUAAAUAAAUGUAGUAAAAAUUUUAAAGUU